rnacentral:tRNA from 1 species
GCCUUCGUAGUGUAGUGGUCAACACGUUCGAAGCGUAUUCGAGAGGUCCGUGGUUCGAGUCCCGGCUAGGGUA